CUUCGGUGCUUGAGACCGGCGCACGGGUGCGUAACGCGUAUGCAAUCUGCCUUUCACAGAGGGAUAGCCCAGAGAAAUUUGGAUUAAUACCUCAUAGUAUUAUGGAGUGGCAUCACUUUAUAAUUAAAGUCACAACGGUGAAAGAUGAGCAUGCGUCCCAUUAGCUAGUUGGUAAGGUAACGGCUUACCAAGGCAACGAUGGGUAGGGGUCCUGAGAGGGAGAUCCCCCACACUGGUACUGAGACACGGACCAGACUCCUACGGGAGGCAGCAGUGAGGAAUAUUGGACAAUGGGCGCAAGCCUGAUCCAGCCAUGCCGCGUGCAGGAUGACGGUCCUAUGGAUUGUAAACUGCUUUUGUACGAGAAGAAACAUCCCGACGUGUCGGGACUUGACGGUAUCGUAAGAAUAAGGAUCGGCUAACUCCGUGCCAGCAGCCGCGGUAAUACGGAGGAUCCAAGCGUUAUCCGGAAUCAUUGGGUUUAAAGGGUCCGUAGGCGGUUUAGUAAGUCAGUGGUGAAAGCCCAUCGCUCAACGGUGGAACGGCCAUUGAUACUGCUGAACUUGAAUUACUGGGAAGUAACUAGAAUAUGUAGUGUAGCGGUGAAAUGCUUAGAUAUUACAUGGAAUACCAAUUGCGAAGGCAGGUUACUACCAGUUGAUUGACGCUGAUGGACGAAAGCGUGGGGAGCGAACAGGAUUAGAUACCCUGGUAGUCCACGCCGUAAACGAUGGAUACUAGCUGUUGGGAGCAAUCUCAGUGGCUAAGCGAAAGUGAUAAGUAUCCCACCUGGGGAGUACGUUCGCAAGAAUGAAACUCAAAGGAAUUGACGGGGGCCCGCACAAGCGGUGGAGCAUGUGG
rnacentral:rRNA from 1 species